UACGUAGGGCGCAAGCGUUAUCCGGAAUUAUUGGGCGUAAAGAGCUCGUAGGCGGUUCGUUAAGUCAGAUGUGAAAAGCCCCCGGGCUCAACCUGGGAACUGCAUUUGAAACUGGCGGGCUUGAGUGUGGCAGAGGGGGGUGGAAUUCCGCGUGUAGCAGUGAAAUGCGUAGAGAUGUGGAGGAACACCAGUGGCGAAGGCGGCUUUCUGGUCUGUAACUGACGCUGAGGCGCGAAAGCGUGGGGGAGCAAACAGG
rnacentral:rRNA from 1 species